AUUGAACGCUGGCGGCAGGCCUAACACAUGCAAGUCGAGCGGUAGAGAGAAGCUUGCUUCUCUUGAGAGCGGCGGACGGGUGAGUAAUGCCUAGGAAUCUGCCUGGUAGUGGGGGAUAACGUUCGGAAACGGACGCUAAUACCGCAUACGUCCUACGGGAGAAAGCAGGGGACCUUCGGGCCUUGCGCUAUCAGAUGAGCCUAGGUCGGAUUAGCUAGUUGGUGAGGUAAUGGCUCACCAAGGCGACGAUCCGUAACUGGUCUGAGAGGAUGAUCAGUCACACUGGAACUGAGACACGGUCCAGACUCCUACGGGAGGCAGCAGUGGGGAAUAUUGGACAAUGGGCGAAAGCCUGAUCCAGCCAUGCCGCGUGUGUGAAGAAGGUCUUCGGAUUGUAAAGCACUUUAAGUUGGGAGGAAGGGUUGUAGAUUAAUACUCCGCAAUUUUGACGUUACCGACAGAAUAAGCACCGGCUAACUCUGUGCCAGCAGCCGCGGUAAUACAGAGGGUGCAAGCGUUAAUCGGAAUUACUGGGCGUAAAGCGCGCGUAGGUGGUUUGUUAAGUUGGAUGUGAAAUCCCCGGGCUCAACCUGGGAACUGCAUUCAAAACUGACUGACUAGAGUAUGGUAGAGGGUGGUGGAAUUUCCUGUGUAGCGGUGAAAUGCGUAGAUAUAGGAAGGAACACCAGUGGCGAAGGCGACCACCUGGACUAAUACUGACACUGAGGUGCGAAAGCGUGGGGAGCAAACAGG
rnacentral:rRNA from 1 species